UGCUUCAAGCCGAUCGCCAUCGUCGCUCUCAUCUUUUCUAUUUGAGAUUUCCCCAACCUCUCAACGGCAACUAACAAAAAAUCCGUGCCCCGCUUUACUCUCGAUAAAAACCAUAUUCUAAUUGGGCUUGUGCAGAAGUAUAAAACUGUAUUAGAAUGUAAAAAAACCGACAUUUCAUCAGCAACUCUGAAGGCGGAAACGUGGGAGCGACUCAGCACUGAGUAUAACAACAUGCUUGUGGUCAGUCCACGGGACUCUAAACAGCUAAAAAAAUGUUGGGGAAAUCUCAAACAGAAGUGGAAAGAAGAGUCAGACCAAAAGCGAAACAUUCACAAGACAGAGCGAGCCGGUGGUGCGGAUGCUUCAGCCAAUGAUCGACGGCGAGGAUGACCAUCAUGACUACAUGGAUGCCCACAAUCGGCCUACAAGCCCCCUCAGCAAGCCGGAGGUUACGUCAGCGGCUUGCGCAAGCGCCAGUGCCGUAGACACGGGAGCAGCUCUUAGCGAUGGGCAC